CAGCAGCCGCGGGAAUACGAAGGGGGCUAGCGUUGCUCGGAAUUACUGGGCGUAAAGGGAGCGUAGGCGGAUCGUUAAGUUGGGGGUGAAAGCCCGGGGCUCAACCUCGGAACUGCCUUCAAUACUGGCGAUCUUGAGUAUGAGAGAGGUGUGUGGAACUCCGAGUGUAGAGGUGAAAUUCGUAGAAAUUCGGAAGAACACCAGUGGCGAAGGCGACUCUCUGGUCUGUAACUGACGCUGAGGAGCGGAAGCGUGGGGAGCGAACAGGAUUAGAUACCCGUGUAGUCCCUGUCUCUUAUAC
rnacentral:rRNA from 1 species